rnacentral:lncRNA from 1 species
AGGAAAGCUUGGCAUAAGGCAUGGCGCCAGCCAUAUGUUGUGUGGCGCACGCCACAUGCUUAUUGGCAUGUGUGUGGCGCCGGCCAUAUGUUGUGAUGCCUGACACAAUUUAUGCUUUUGUCUUUAUAUUGGGUGGUUUAUAGUGUGUUAUUGGGUAUGUGACUCAAAUGGUAUUAAUGCAUGGCGUGUAGCAGUGAAAGAAGGAAUCUUUAUAUAGCCUUGCAGGUCACAUGAGUUUGCAUGUUCAUAAUAAUUAUAAAAAGAGAUGAUACUUGUGCAUGUGACUUGCAGAAAAUUAAGUCUAGCUUGUGGCAUAUAGGGUCAUGUGAGCUGAUAAAAUUUUCUUGUUGUGCAGUGUGUAAGAAAUGCUUUUGACUAAACAAUUAUGUGGAUACUAUAAUUGGAUAUUGACCAUAGCAGCAAACCAGUACGAAAGAUUUAACUAAGUUGAAUAGUAUAUAUAUAGAUAGAUGAAUCAUGCAGAGAAAGGAAAUCUAACAUGAAAAUACUUGCAUAAUUUAUUAAUACCAAAAUAAAAUAAUUGUAUCU